ACACUACACACUGUAAAUGUUAGUCAUGGAGGAUGUGUACCAACAUGGAAGAGUGUUUACAAUGUAUCUUUAGAGAAAAGAUGGACUAUCCAAGUAUGCAUACUGGAAUUAUCAUUAGAUUACCAUACAUCUGGGUGAGGAGCAGAACAGAGACAUAAGUAACAGCAACCGUGAACCUCAGAGGCAGCCAAGGGCUGGAGUGCAAUGGCACCAUCGCGGCUCACUGCAACCUCCACCUCCUGGGUUCAAGCGAUUCUCCUGCCUCAGCCUCCCGAGUAGCUGGGAUUACAGGUGCCCACCACCACGCCCAGCUAAUUUGUGUAUUUUUAGUAGAGACGGGUUUCACCAUGCUGGCCUCGAACUCCUGACUUCAGGUGAUCCACCUGCCUCGGCCUCCCAAAGUGCCGGGAUUACAGG
rnacentral:lncRNA from 1 species